GGGGCUGAUUUGGCUUUGACAGCGUGUCGAGGUGGUAAGUAAGCAUGCAGAGCGAUGAUGGCUAUGCUCUUUAAUCUCAGACAUCACUAAAUUUUAACUGGCGAAAACAACUACGCUCUCGCUGCCUAGCCGAAGUAUAGUAGGUUGGCUUUAUCGCUGCCCAAGGUGGCAGUGACGAGACAUCACCCGAUUGCCGUUGUUCCGAGGCGUUUCGACAAGGUGGUGCUGGAAUAUCGGGAAUAGAGCGCGACAAGUCUCGGGUCAUGCUCGAAAUUUAGAGAAUAAGCCUCAAGUUGGUGGUCUUGAUCCUGCUUGUCGACGAAAACCAAGUCAAGACUAAGCAUGUAGAAAACUUAUUAGUUCCACGUUUGGACGAGGGUUCAAACCCCUCCAGCUCCACU
rnacentral:tmRNA from 1 species